AUAUUAUUAAGUGGAGGAAAAGAAACCAAAAGGGAUUCCCCCAGUAGCGGCGAGCGAAAAGGGAUCAGCCCAAAGCCGAAUCCCGCGUCUUUUGACGUCGGGAAAUGUGGCGUAUGGGAGACGGUACUUUCCGCGUGUUGAAGGCGACUCAAGUCCCCAUGAACGGGGCUACGACCGAAGCGGGUGUGAGUCCCGUACAGUCGCUCUUCUCGCGCCGAGUUUCCGCUUYUCCCGGGAGUCGGGUUGCUUGAAAGUGCAGCCCAAAGUGGGUGGUAUGCUCCACCUAAGGCUAAAUAUCCCCGAGAGACCGAUAGCAAAAAAGUACCGUGAGGGAAAGUUGAAAAGAACUUUGAAGAGAGAGUUCAAUAGUACGUGAAACCGCUUAGAGGUAAACGAGUGGGCCCUCGAAGUCUGAAGGCAGAUCGGUUCAGUUCGGGCGGGAACGGCUACGGAUUUUGCGCACGCUACUCUAGUGGCGUCGCUUUUUCCGUCGAGACGGCCGUACUCGCCCGAGCGCAAUUCUUUUCUGUCGGUAAGAGGCCGCGACUGGUUGGUCGACGUUCGGAAGGACUGCCGGAGGAUAGGUGGCCUGCCCCGCUUCUGCGGGGCGGGUGUUAUAACCUCCGGUACGUAUAGCCGAUCGUCGCACCGACUCAGCACGAACGAGAACCUCGCACGGCGUUCCCUCCGAACGGAGUGUCUUUUAGGCACAGGGAUAGCCAGGGGUCGGCGGUCAGUAGGUCGGGUCCCACUCGACCCGUCUUG
rnacentral:rRNA from 1 species